rnacentral:lncRNA from 1 species
CUUAUGUGUUGUAUGUUUGUGUGCACACUUGUGUUUUGUGUUGUAUGUCUGUGUGUGCGUAUGUCCAUAUAUCAUAUAUGAGGAGCGCUCAUGAAAAAAUGGAUCCAAUUUUUUUUAUUCAUGUGAUUUUAAUGGUUUAAUUUAAAUUGGGUAAACAGCUGUUGAGGAUUGUUUUAAUAUGUGUACAAAUAAGGAGGUUAACAGAUCUGUUUGUUUACUUUCACCUUUCCUUUUCAUUAUAUUUAAUAAUUCUGUUCAGGAUAAUGUAAAUUGUUCAGAAAAUUGUUUUCUUAGUACCUGUUGGAAUGUUACAUAUUUUUUUUAGCAUCAUUGCCAGAAUUCCUAUCUUCAUCCCAG